rnacentral:rRNA from 1 species
UGGGGAAUUUUGCGCAAUGGGCGAAAGCCUGACGCAGCAACGCCGCGUGGGUGAUGAAGGUCUUCGGAUCGUAAAACCCUGUCGUCAGGGACGAAGGUUGUGUUCCUAAUACGGAUGCAGCUUGACGGUACCUGGAGAGGAAGCCCCGGCUAACUCUGUGCCAGCAGCCGCGGUAAUACAGAGGGGGCAAGCGUUAUUCGGAAUUAUUGGGCGUAAAGGGCGCGUAGGCGGUGAUUUAAGUGAGAUGUGCAAUCCCCGGGCUUAACCUGGGAACUGCAUCUCAGACUGGGUCGCUAGAGUGCUGGAGAGGGUGGUGGAAUUCCACGUGUAGCGGUGAAAUGCGUAGAGAUGUGGAGGAACACCAGUGGCGAAGGCGGCCACCUGGACAGUAACUGACGC